rnacentral:rRNA from 1 species
GACGAACGCUGGCGGCGUGCUUAACACAUGCAAGUCGAACGGAAAGGCCCUGCUUUUGUGGGGUGCUCGAGUGGCGAACGGGUGAGUCACACGUGAGUAACCUGCCCUUGACUUUGGGAUAACUUCAGGAAACUGGGGCUAAUACCGGAUAGGAGCUCCUGCUGCAUGGUGGGGGUUGGAAAGUUUCGGCGGUUGGGGAUGGACUCGCGGCUUAUCAGCUUGUUGGUGGGGUAGUGGCUUACCAAGGCUUUGACGGGUAGCCGGCCUGAGAGGGUGACCGGCCACAUUGGGACUGAGAUACGGCCCAGACUCCUACGGGAGGCAGCAGUGGGGAAGAUUGCACAAUGGGCGGAAGCCUGAUGCAGCAACGCCGCGUGCGGGAUGACGGCCUUCGGGGUGUAAACCGCUUUCGCCUGUGACGAAGCGUGAGUGACGGUAAUGGGUAAAGAAGCACCGGCUAACUACGUG